GCGGGGGAGGGAAACGUGAGUGGAAAUCUUACCGGAUCCGGCAGUCGGUCUUGUAAGUCUGUCGUUAAAGCGUGGAGCUUAACUCCAUUUGAGCGAUGGAAACUGUAAGACUAGAGUGUGGUAGGGGCAGAGGGAAUUCCCUAAGUAGUGGCGAGCGAACGGGGAAGAGCCCAAACCAAUCGGGUUCCGGCUCGGUUGGGGUUGUAGGGCCGCGCCAUCAAAUGUUUAUUCGAAGUCUAACACAACUGGAAAGUUGGGCCAUAGAGGGUGAUAGCCCCUUUGACGUAUGAAUAUUCUAUUUGUAGCGGUACCCUGAGUAGGGCGGGACACGUGGAAUCCUGUCUGAAUCUACCAGGACCAUCUGGUAAGGCUAAAUACUCCUAGAUCACCGAUAGCGUACCAGUACCGUGAGGGAAAGGUGAAAAGUACCCUGAAUAAGGGAGUGAAAUAGUACCUGAAACCGUGUGCUUACAAGCGGUCGGAGCCCUUUAGUGGGGUGACGGCGUGCCUUUUGCAUAAUGAUCCUACGAGUUGCUCUUCACUAGCGAGGUUAAGGGUCUAAGGCCCGGAGCCGAAGCGAAAGCGAGUCUGAAUAGGGCGUAUAGUUAGUGGAGGCAGACGCGAAACCUUGUGAUCUACCCAUGACCAGGAUGAAGCUUUGGUAACACAAAGUGGAGGUCCGAACCGGUUGACGUUGAAAAGUCUUCGGAUGAGUUGUGGGUAGGGGUGAAAGGCCAAUCAAACUGGGAAAUAGCUCGUACUCCCCGAAAUGCAUUUAGGUGCAGCCUCAAGUAUAGUGUCAUAGAGGUAGAGCUACUGGUUGGAUGCGGGGGUUUCAUCGCCUACCAAAUCCUGUCAAACUCCGAAUGCUAUGACAUGUUUCUUGGGAGUGAGGGCCGGGGUGCUAAGGUCACGGUCCGAGAGGGAAAGAACCCAGACCAUCUGCUAAGGUCCCCAAAUAUGUGCUAAGUUGAUCAAACGAGGUCAGACUGCAUUGACAGCUAGGAUGUUGGCUUGGAAGCAGCCAUUCAUUUAAAGAGUGCGUAACAGCUCACUAGUCGAGCGGUCUGGCAUGGACAAUAAUCGGGCAUAAGCACAUUACCGAAGCAAUGGGCUCGUUAAGAGCGGUAGGGGAGCAUUCUGGUUGCGCUGAAGGUUGGCUGUGAGGCUGGCUGGAGCGGCUAGAAAAGAAAAUGUAGGAAUGAGUAACGAUAAUGCGGGUGAGAAACCCGCACACCGCAAACCCAAGGUUUCCUCAGCAAUGCUAAUCAGCUGAGGGUUAGUCGGGACCUAAGGCGAACCCGAACGGGGUAGUCGAUGGAGAACUGGUUAAUAUUCCAGUACCUGAUAUAACUGCGAUGGGGUGACGAAGGUGUGACAGCUCCGCGAACUGACGGAAUAGUUCGUUGAAGCCCGUAGGUAUAGGUUGGAUAGGCAAAUCCGUUCGACCUGCUGAAAGGUGAUAGUACUCCAAGGCUUCGGCUGCGGAGAUAGUGAGUGUAAUCAGACUUCCGAGAAAAACCUCUAAGCUUCAGGUUAUAUCAGCUCGUACCGUAAACCGACACAGGUGGGUGAGGAGAGUAUCCUCAGGUGCUCGAGUGAUUCAUGGCUAAGGAACUAGGCAAAAUCGCCCCGUAACUUCGGGAGAAGGGGCGCCCCCGCGAGGGGGCCGCAGUGAAAAGGCCCAGGCGACUGUUUAGCAAAAACACAGGACUCUGCUAAAUCGAAAGAUGAUGUAUAGGGUCUGACACCUGCCCGGUGCUGGAAGGUUAAGAGGAGGCGUCAUCGCAAGAGAAGCGCUGAAUUGAAGCCCCAGUAAACGGCGGCCGUAACUAUAACGGUCCUAAGGUAGCGAAAUUCCUUGUCGGGUAAGUUCCGACCUGCACGAAUGGUGUAACGAUCUGGGCACUGUCUCGGCCAUGAGCUCGGUGAAAUUGUAGUAUCGGUGAAGAUGCCGAUUACCCGUAGUGGGACGAAAAGACCCCGUGAACCUUCACUACAGCUUAGUAUUGACUUCGGAUAAUGGAUGUGUAGGAUAGGUGGGAGAUAAUGAAGCGUGGUCGCCAGGCUGCGUGGAAUCAUCCUUGAAAUACCACCCUUCUGUUAUUUGGAGCCUAACCCCGCAAGGGGGACAUUGCUUGGUGGGUAGUUUGACUGGGGAGAUCGGAAGAGCGUCGUGUAGGGAAAGAGUGUAGGC
rnacentral:rRNA from 1 species